GACGAACGCUGGCGGCGUGCCUAAUACAUGCAAGUCGAACGCAGUGGGGACGGGUGAGUAACACGUGGGUAACCUCCCAUCAGAGGGGAUAACACUUGGAAACAGGUGCUAAACCGAUACUGAUGGAUGGACCCGCGGUGCAUUAGCUAGUUGGUGAGGUAACGGCUCACCAAGGCCACGAUGCAUAGCCGACCUGAGAGGGUGAGCGGCCACACGGGGACUGAGAAACGGCCCAGACUCCUACGGGAGGCAGCAGUGGGGAAUAGUGGACAAUGGGCGCAAGCCUGAUGCAGCCAUGCCGCGUGAAUGAAGAAGGCCUUCGGGUUGUAAAGUACUGUCAGCGGGGAGGCGUUACCCGCAGAAGAAGCACCGGCUAACUCCGUGCCAGCCGCCGCGGUAAUAC
rnacentral:rRNA from 1 species